CCGCUCCCAGAGCCCCCGCCUCCAGCUUUGUAACCGUAGUCCUCCGCCUCCAGCCUCCAGAGCAUCCGCCUCAAGCCUCUGUUCUCUUCUUUAAUCCUGAGAUCGAGCCAUUUUCUGUGCAUCUUCCCUAACUUGAAUGUAGUUGUCCUCUAUCAUAAAUAACUGCAAGCCAAACACAAGUGUUCAACAAUAUUCUUUGAAAGACAUGGAAAUUGGUAUGAGACAAACCUCGAGGUGGCUAGCAACAAAAUCCUCCGCAUUUUUUUAACUAAGAACAGAAAACCAAAACACCACUUCUUCUCCUUCCCUGUUCCUUCUUAGAUCUGUAGGACAUCUCCAGCUCCCUCUAUUUUUAAAUCUAACAUAAAAUUUAGAGUGAAAAUACUCGUACUAUAUUUUUCACUCUAUAAUAAUGUGAAAAUUAGGUUUACUCCAAAUAUAGUGUAUUUUUUUUUUGUUUAUCACUCUAUUUUUUACUAUAAAAUAGAGUAUCAUUGGAGCAAACUCCAACUUUAUUAUAGAGAGUUACUCUAUUUAAAAAAAAAAAUAGAAUAAACCAUUGGAGAUAGUCUUAACCAAAACAAAAAUUAAUUACAAAUAAAAAGAAAGAUGAAAAGAAAGAGAGAACAGAUAAGAGGAAGUGACUUUACCAAGCUAUGGUGGUGACGACGCGAGCUAUGGCUGUAAAGACGACAGACUGUGGUGGAGACGAAGACGAGGUCUGGUUGUGACAAAGGUUUAGUGGUGAUGAAGAAAUAGACUAGAAAGACAAGAUCUGUGAGAUUAGGAAGCAUGAGAUUAACGAAGAAAGACAAAUUUUUACGGCGGCGAGAAAGUUGAGAGAAUAUUAGGGCGAACUU
rnacentral:lncRNA from 1 species